rnacentral:lncRNA from 1 species
GCGGGCACUAGUGUUUCGCACGAGGGCGGGGGGGUGUGUGCGCGCGUACGUGCACGCGUCGUGUGUGCACACGCACGUUGCACGCACAUGUCAUUGCACAGGCACACGUCGUGUGCACACACACAUCAUGCAUGCACGCACGUCAUGCACACACACGUCAGUGCACACAUGUGCAUGCACACACGUCACUGCGCAGACACACGUGCAUGCACACGCAUGUCAUUGCACGUGCACGCACACACGUCAUGCACGCACACGCCGUGCAUGCACACAUCAUUGCACAUGCGUGCACACACAUGCAUGCACGCACAUUUCAUUGCACAGACACACGUCGUGCAUGCACACACACAUUGCACGCACAUGUCAUCGCACAGUCACACAUCGUGUGCACACAUGCAUCAUGCAUGCACACACACGUCAUUGCACAGACACACCUCGUGCACGCACACACAUGUUGCACGUGCAUGUCAUUGUGCAUGCGCACACAUGCACGCACACAUGUCAUGCACACACGUGUCAUUGCAUGCACAUGCACACACGUUGUGCAGGUGCACACACUCAUGCAUGCACACACAUCAUGCAUGCACACAGGUCAUGCACACACACGUGCAUGCACACACGUCAUUGCCCAGACACACGUGCAUGCAUACACAUGUUGCACGCAUAUGUCAUUGCACACACACGUCAUCACAUGCAUACACACGCGCAUGCACACACACACUGUGCAUGCACACGCAUAUCAUUGCAUGCACAUGUCAUUGCACAUGCACACACGUUUUGCAGGCACACACACACAUGCGUGCACGCACACACACGUCAUUGCACACACAUGCUGUGCAUGCACACACACAAGUGCACACACAUUUUGCAUGAGAGCAGGAGCCCUCACGUGUGUGCGCGUGCACAUUGUGUGCACACAGAUGCCUGUGUGUGCGUGUGCGCAGGUGUUUGUGCAUGCACACAUACUGCAUGAGGGAGGGAGCACACACUUGUGUGUGUGCACAGAAUUGCAUGCACAUGUGCGCGCACGAGGGCAGGAGCAAUCACCCGUGUGUGUGUUCACAUCUGUGUGUGCACAGUCGCGUGUCCGUGCGCACUUGUGCAAGCGCACACACACAUAUUUGUGCAUGCACCCCCAUUUUCCAUGCGCGCCCGCGCACAGGGCAGGCGUGCACCCACCUGCUUGUGCAUGCACACGCGUGCACAGAGGGCUGCUCCCUCUCCCUGGCCCCCCCCCACGACCCCCCCAGGUGACGGCUGAACCGGGGGCACAAGUGUCCCCAUCCAUCUCCCGCGCUAGUGACGGGUGGGGGCUGCACGGGGGCUUUUUGGGGGGUGUGUGUGUGGUGUGUGUCCCCCCCCCGGUGUCACCCUGUCCACCCCCCUUCCCCACACCCCCCCCCCAAGUGACGGCUGAACCCGGUGCACAAGUGUCCCCAUCCAUCUCCCCCACCGGUGACGGAUGGUCCUGCCCAGUGGGGGCUGCACGAGGGCUUUUGGGGGGGGGGGAAGUGGG